GAUUGGCCGAGGAUUUGGACAUGUGACCCAAGAUGAGCCAACCAGAAUCCUUCAAAUUGGCCUAGAAGGGGAACUGCCUUUGACAACGAGACACAGAAGUGAUGAGAUGUUUUCACAGUUACCAUACUGACGACUCCCAUCCUGGUUGCAUAGAAGAAUCACCCCCUACGCUUGCUAAAAAUCCAGGUUCCCAGGUCAAGUGAACAGGAUCAGAUUCUCAGAUGAGACACCACUGAGCUACAUUCCUGGCCCCCGAGCUGAUUGUUUGAACUAGGGAGACUUCAGCUGCAGAUGGCUUCACAGUGCUGUUUCCAAGUGACCAGGUUGACCGUUGCCUCCCCAAAAGCCACAGUGACUUCCAGGAUGGUGGCACCAGGAGCCUCAGCCCGUGCUGCUGCCACCACCACCAAGGUGACACUUAGAGCAACGAGUACUUCACAGGACACCCAAACGGCAGCGCCCACGAUGACCACAACCCACGGCCCCACUAAUAACCACUGUUCAUUCAUAAGAAAACAGAGACUCGACAUUUCUUCCUGGCAGCAUGGUGGUGGUGCUGCAUUGGCACUGGGAGUUUCGUCUACACUGGAUGCAAAGGGUCUGGCUCAAGAAGAGGCAUUCAGCAUAGAACCACGGAAGAACUUGAGGCCGUCACUUAAGGAACUGUAAGAACCAAGGAGAGAAGGGACUCUGAACACUUACAAGACGUGCCCAGAAACACACGACAUGCGUGUGUAAUAUGCACACACACGCGCCUUUGCGAAGUCUCUCUGCCGCUUCUCUUCCGUGGCUGGGGGUGAACCCAGGGGUCUGCACACCACCCAGCUCAGCUCCACAGCGUGCCCAGCCGCCCUCUGCUGAACACAGAUCACACUUGGCUUCCUGCUCUUAUCCACAGGUUUGUAAAGCUGUCUCACAUUAAAGCAGCGAGAACUCCUGCAGCCCC
rnacentral:lncRNA from 1 species